CAGUAGCCACGGUAAUACGAAGGGUGCAAGCGUUAAUCGGAAUUACUGGGCGUAAAGCGUGCGUAGGCGGUUUGUUAAGUCUGUUGUGAAAUCCCCGGGCUCAACCUGGGAAUGGCAAUGGAUACUGGCAAGCUAGAGUGUGUCAGAGGAUGGUGGAAUUCCCGGUGUAGCGGUGAGAUGCGUAGAGAUCGGGAGGAACAUCAGUGGCGAAGGCGGCCAUCUGGGACAACACUGACGCUGAGGCACGAAAGCGUGGGGAGCAAACAGGAUUAGAUACCCCAGUAGUCCCUGUCUCUUAUAC
rnacentral:rRNA from 1 species